CUGCCUUCAGGUGAGAAGACAGAAAACCCAGCAAAAAGCCAAGGGACUCAUCGGACCUUCCCAAAGCAGAGCCUACUGACUGACGGAUCCCAAACAGAUGGUAUGUUUCAUUGUGGUAUAAUGCAAAAAUGGCCACAAAGUCCCCGUUGGCUAGAGAGCAUGAUUGGCGCGAGGCUUCUUGGGAGAUGUAGUCCCUGGAGCUGCUGAUGACCAACUGCCUACCUCACUGGCAGGGACCAGAGGCAGAAGAGGCAAAGAGCCAUCCGCAUGAGCCCAGGCCAAACUGCCAGCCCACAGAGCCCCUCGAUAAAUAAAUGGUUUCUUUUUUAGGUCACUAAAGAUUGGGGAUCAUUUGUUAUACAACACAAGCUACCAGAUAAUACUCUUUAAAAACCAGACCAAAAAAAAAAAAAAAAAGAAAGGGAGUUCCCGUCGUGGCA